CAUUACCGAGUUUACAACUCCCAAACCCCUGUGAACAUACCACUUGUUGCCUCGGCGGAUCAGCCCGCUCCCGGUAAAACGGGACGGCCCGCCAGAGGACCCCUAAACUCUGUUUCUAUAUGUAACUUCUGAGUAAAACCAUAAAUAAAUCAAAACUUUCAACAACGGAUCUCUUGGUUCUGGCAUCGAUGAAGAACGCAGCAAAAUGCGAUAAGUAAUGUGAAUUGCAGAAUUCAGUGAAUCAUCGAAUCUUUGAACGCACAUUGCGCCCGCCAGUAUUCUGGCGGGCAUGCCUGUUCGAGCGUCAUUUCAACCCUCAAGCACAGCUUGGUGUUGGGACUCGCGUUAAUUCGCGUUCCUCAAAUUGAUUGGCGGUCACGUCGAGCUUCCAUAGCGUAGUAGUAAAACCCUCGUUACUGGUAAUCGUCGCGGCCACGCCGUUAAACCCCAACUUCUGAAUGUUGACCUCGGAUCAGGUAGGAAUACCCGC
rnacentral:rRNA from 3 species